rnacentral:rRNA from 1 species
GACGAACGCUGGCGGCGUGCUUAACACAUGCAAGUCGAACGGUAAGGCCCUUCGUGGUACACGAGUGGCGAACGGGUGAGUAACACGUGGGUGAUCUGCCCCGCACGUCGGGAUAAGCCUGGGAAACUGGGUUUAAUACCGGAUAGGACCCAGGGAUGCAUGUCCUGGGGGGGAAAGCUUUGGCGGAGUGGGAUGGGCCGGCGGCCUAUCAGCUUGUUGGUGGGGUGAUGGACUACCAAGGCGACGACGGGUAGCCGGCCUCGUGAGGGUGACCGGCCACACUGGGACUGAGAUACGGCCCAGACUCCUACGGGAGGCAGCAGUGGGGAUAUUGCACAAUGGGCGCAAGCCUGAUGCAGCGACGCCGCGUGAGGGAUGACGGCCUUCGGGUUGUAAACCUCUUUCAGCACCGACGAAGCGCAAGUGACGGUAGGUGCAGAAGAAGGACCGGCCAACUACGUGCCAGCCGCCGCCGUAA